rnacentral:rRNA from 1 species
CUGAACCUUCGGGGAACGAUAACGGCGUCGAGCGGCGGACGGGUGAGUAAUGCCUAGGAAAUUGCCCUGAUGUGGGGGAUAACCAUUGGAAACGAUGGCUAAUACCGCAUGAUGCCUACGGGCCAAAGAGGGGGACCUUCGGGCCUCUCGCGUCAGGAUAUGCCUAGGUGGGAUUAGCUAGUUGGUGAGGUAAGGGCUCACCAAGGCGACGAUCCCUAGCUGGUCUGAGAGGAUGAUCAGCCACACUGGAACUGAGACACGGUCCAGACUCCUACGGGAGGCAGCAGUGGGGAAUAUUGCACAAUGGGCGCAAGCCUGAUGCAGCCAUGCCGCGUGUAUGAAGAAGGCCUUCGGGUUGUAAAGUACUUUCAGUCGUGAGGAAGG